GGAAGGGCCUUACCUCAGUGGUACAGUAUUUGUUUUGUAUGUAGAACACCCCAGGUUUGAUCCCUGGUAUCUCCA